GAUGAAGAACGUAGCGAAAUGCGAUAACUAAUGUGAAUUGCAGAAUUCAGUGAAUCAUCGAAUCUUUGAACGCACAUUGCGCCCCCUGGUAUUCCGGGGGGCAUGCCUGUCCGAGCGUCAUUACAACCCUCAAGCUCAGCUUGGUGUUGGGCCCCGCCGCCCCGGCGGGCCCUAAAGUCAGUGGCGGUGCCGUCCGGCUCCGAGCGUAGUAAUUCUUCUCGCUCUGGAGGUCCGGUCGUGUGCUCGCCAGCAACCCCCAAUUUUUUUCAGGUUGACCUCGGAUCAGGUAGGGAUACCCGCUGAACUUAAGCAUAUCAAUAAGCGGAGGA
rnacentral:misc_RNA from 1 species